UACGGGGGGGGCAAGCGUUGUUCGGAAUUACUGGGCGUAAAGGGUUCGUAGGUGGCUUGCUAAGUCAGACGUGAAAUCCCUCAGCUUAACUGGGGAACUGCGUCUGAUACUGGCGAGCUUGAGUGCAGGAGAGGAACGCAGAAUUCCAGGUGUAGCGGUGAAAUGCGUAGAUAUCUGGAGGAACACCGGUGGCGAAGGCGGCGUUCUGGACUGCAACUGACACUGAGAAACGAAAGCCAGGGGAGCAAACGGG
rnacentral:rRNA from 1 species